UACGGGGGGGGCAAGCGUUGUUCGGAAUUACUGGGCGUAAAGGGCUCGUAGGUGGCCAACUAAGUCAGACGUGAAAUCCCUCGGCUUAACCGGGGAACUGCGUCUGAUACUGGAUGGCUUGAGUUCGGGAGAGGGAUGCGGAAUUCCAGGUGUAGCGGUGAAAUGCGUAGAUAUCUGGAGGAACACCGGUGGCGAAGGCGGCUCGCUGGGACGUUACUGACGCUGAGACGCGAAAGCGUGGGGAGCAAACAGG
rnacentral:rRNA from 1 species